rnacentral:rRNA from 1 species
GACGAACGCUGGCGGCGUGCUUAACACAUGCAAGUCGAACGGAAAGGCCCUGCUUUUGUGGGGUGCUCGAGUGGCGAACGGGUGAGUAACACGUGAGUAACCUGCCCUUGACUUUGGGAUAACUUCAGGAAACUGGGGCUAAUACCGGAUAGGAGCUCCUGCUGCAUGGUGGGGGUUGGAAAGUUUCGGCGGUUGGGGAUGGACUCGCGGCUUAUCAGCUUGUUGGUGGGGUAGUGGCUUACCAAGGCUUUGACGGGUAGCCGGCCUGAGAGGGUGACCGGCCACAUUGGGACUGAGAGACGGAGCAGACUCGUACGGGAGGCAGCAGUGGGGAAUAUUGCACAGUGGGCGGAAGCGUGAGACAGCAACGCCGGGUGCGGGAUGCCGGGCUUCGGGUUGUAAACCGCUUUCGCCUGUGACGAAGCGGGAGUGACGGUAAUGAGUAAAGAAGCACCGGCUAACUACGUG